CAAGCCCAGCGGAGAGGCCCAUCCUCGGUCGAUUCUCUUCUCAUAUAGUUUAUGAUUUAAGGUUGUUAAUUCUGACUCUUGAACAAGUUGACUCAUUCACCGACUCAACCUUCAAGGGAACCCCAGCAGCGGUUUGUUUGUUGGAGGAAUAAAGAGAUGAGAAAUGGCUGCAAGAUCCUCUACUGUCAAUCACCAUAAAAAAAAUUCUAGUUUUUGCAUUUCUGGAUAUUUUUCUUCAUUUUUAGCUCUCUGGGUUUUUGUUUUUUUGAUUGUUUUAUAACAGUUUCUUCUUACAAAUCCAUGUAAAGAAAAAAGGGUUUUCUGGGUUUUAUAAUUUGCUUCUUUUAUAACUGUUUUUCUUUUUUUGUUCAUUUAUAUUCUUAUGUUUUCCAUGUGUUUGUUUUAAUGCCUGUUUGGUAUUUCAUAUAUAUAUAUAUAUAUGUUUUGUUGGCUUUGAAGGUACGAAGAUCCUCAUCAUGGUGAGGGGAAAAACACAAAUGAGGCGCAUAGAGAACGAUACGAGCAGGCAAGUUACAUUCUCAAAGUGACGAAGUGGGCUACUAAAGAAAGGUUUUGAACUAUCAGUUCUUUGUGAUGCUGAAGUUGCUUUAAUCAUCUUCUCUCCUAGAGGCAAGCUCUUUGAAUUUGCAAGCUCUAGUUACUAGAAAGACAAGAAUUUGAAAUUCGGUGUGAUUUUGAUGUAAAACGUUCUUCACUGGAAGUUGAGGUUAGUGAUUUAGAGGAAAAAAUAGCAGCUGGAUCUGACAGCAAGAUGCUUUCUCGUGGUUUAGAUGGUUCUUUAAAUGAAUCAUUGUAGAAGCUUAAUACAGCAAAGAGGGAACUUGCAGCUAGACUGAGGGCAAUAGUAUCAAUAAAGCGUCUGUUGGAUGAUGCACCUUCCCAGUCAGAACUCAUCCAGUAUGUUCACCUUCCUUUUCCAUUGCUGUAAAGUUUUAGGCCUUGAAAUCUUGAUAUUACAUAGGAACUUGCAGCUAGACUGAGGGUAAUAGUAUCAAUAAAGCAUCUGCUGGAUGACUGCCAUGUCACAUUUUCAUUCUGGAGUAAUCAAAUUCAUGUUGUAAUUCUCUCCCGUGCUUAAGUUGGUGAACUUGUGCUAUUGUAUAAGACCACUUGGAUGAGAUAUUUGCUUUCUACAGAGUUCUUGCUUGUGUGUGAGUACCUGGGUGAAUGGAGAAGUAGAGAUUAGUGAGUAAAAUGCAUCAGGGAGAAUAAGAUGUCCUAAGAUCGUCACAGGAGAGUUUGAAGGUGAGAGGUCACCAGCAUGGGGUGGGAUAUUCUUAUUUGUUUGUGUUAGGACAUAGAGGGAUGGUGCCUAUUUCAAUGUUAAAUUUCUCUUUUGUUUACUUCAUCAGAACUGAUGUUACGUACUGUUUGUAACUUGUAACCAUUUAUUGUGCUGUAGAUGGUUUAUCUAUAUGUUCUCAGUUUUGUGCGGAUACAUGUUUAUUUUUGAUCUCAUAAUUUAUUUUUGGAUCUCAUAAUUUAUCCUUUCACCCCUGUCGAUUUUGGAUCUCAUAAUUUAUUUUUGGUUCUUGGGUUCAGUGAGCUAUUUUGGGUGCUUUCUAGGAGAUUUUCUUUCAUUUUCCUUUCUCCUAUUUCGGUGGAUUUUAGGGAGGUCUUUUAUUUCAUCUUUAGUGCUGAUAUAUUUUCUCCUUAGUCUGGACUAUGUCUUCUUGUCUGUUAUACCUAUUGAACACUUUUAUUUUGAAGUAAAAUUGUUAUAAACAACAUGGAGGUUUUAUUAAGCAACGUGGGUUAUUUCUUCUAUUGGCUUGGAGGGCAUGAAAUUUGUUUGAACUCUUUGAAGUGAAUUGUGGUUGCGUUUAGCUUUUUUUGUUUUAACAAGUAUUUGUUUGAUUUAUGUUUUCCUGAAACUUGUUCUCCUUGUUGAUGUCAAAAAUUGUCCUCCUUGCGUUUAACUUGUUCUCCUUGUUGAUGUCAAAAUUUGUCUUCAUGAGUUUUUGAGCUUCCCAGCAUUUCAUUGUUAUACUAAUUAAUUAGUUGACCCUUUGAUUUUAUGGGAGCUCAAUAACUUAAGGCCUUAACUUUAUUCAGCUGCUGAGUACUGCGAAAAGUCGUAUCUCCAUAAUGAGCAGAAAUAGAUGUAAGGUUACCUAUUUUACUUAAAUACUUGCUUAGUUCCUUCAUUGUUUGUUUAACAACCUCACAUGUUCAUGCAAGCAAUACCAUAAUUGAUUUCAGAACUUGAUCGAUUACCACAAGCACUGGCUUGCUUCUAUAAUGUUCAUGCAAGUGUCACGGGGCUAGACCUUUCGUCUCGCAAUCCGUGCGGCCUUAGGCAAUCCGUUCGUCCCAAACUCGCCUAAGUCAGCCUUUACGCCCAAAAGUGAGGAUUCUUUAGAACUCCUCCAAGCCACCAAUUUGUAUAGCGGAAGCGAUUGUGCCAAAAGAAGCUACAAAAGAACAACAGAAAGCCAAAGAAAGAAUGCACACAAAGUGUUUGAGUAAAUGCUCAAGAAUUCUAUUACUCUUAAGAAUUCAGCUUACAAUGGAUGAGUACAAAUGAGGGGGAGGCUCUCUAUUUAUAGUUGAGCUCCCCCAAAAUCGACGGUCAAGAUACAUUUACAUCGACGGACGAGAUUCACUAUAUCCCUUAAUUUUAGGGAUUUACAAGAUUUGCCAUAUCAAAUCUAAUCUAAUCUUUACAAGAUAUGAUUCUCUCUAUCUUCUAAGAUUAGUUACUAAAAUUAGCCUAAGUUGCCAUGUCUUCAUCAUCGGGCCAACCAGGCUUCAAUCUGACAGGCUUCUUCAAUAGUUCACUGAAUCGGGCCAGUUCUCGUGGGCCAAAAUCUAAUCGAUAGACCUCCAUGGGGCGCUUCUUGUGCCAUGGUCAAGGGCUUUGCACUUUGGCCCGUGACAUUCUCCCCCACCCAUUCUCGUAACGCCCUCGUUGUAACUUCUGGAUGACACUGACUUGAUUCACCUUGAAGCUUCCUCGUUGCCUCGGCUUCUUCCCGACUUGUCUUGCAAUCGGGUUGUCCCUUCCUUCGGAACCUAUGCCUCGGCUUCCGUUGCCUCUUAUCUUGAACCGUUGCACUCGUUGGUACAUUCUGUUAGCAAGAAGUCUCUGCUUUAACUUGCCCCAAUUUUGACUUGUUCCCACUGGAAUCCCCUGAAUUCUCACAUCUUGGCCUCGUACCACCCAUAGUCCCUUUGCCUCAUUGCUUAUGAACUUUGAAAGGGCCCCUACGAUCUUGCCAAGCUAACAAGUCAGAAUUCAAAACACUAUCAGAGUGUUUGCAAUGCACCUUACUCGUAGCAUUUACUCAUCUCGACUUUUUUGCAUCGCUCCUUUUCCCUCAAAGCUCGAUGCACAACCCACAUUUCCCAAAGGUGUUGGCUCUACAGUCAAAUCCGCAGGCUUCAUAUCGGUCCAUUGCGCCACUAACACUUCCGAAAGGGCUUUCGUAGCUUUUCGUUCUGACGAAUUAAUGUUUCUCUCAUACGAAACAUCUUCGACUAGUUGGAUUGACGAUAACACCUUGGUCCCAACUUUAAUAUCUCGAUGCACCGGCACAACCAUUUUUGUUGACUGCCCGGUGACAAUAUGGAUUUGAUCGGCCCAUGGUUGCAGAGUUGCCUGAAUCCUGUCAAGGAAGUUUAAGCCAAGCACAUAAUUGUAAUCAUCCAAUUGGAUUACCUCGAAAUCUUCCUUGCUCUUCCAUUUGCCGAUUUGUAGUUCCACAUCACGAACUACUCCCACAGUUGGGGCUUUCUCGGAAGUUGCUAUCUUGAUCUUCUUAUUCGAUUUCCUAAUCGAUAGACCAAGCUUUUUCGCAGCCUUUUCUGACAUGAACAAGUCCAAUGCUCCCGUAUCAAUAAGAGCACUCUGCUUCUGACCCGCAAUGUUGAUGUCUACAAACAUCAACCCUUUGCCACCAUUCCUCUUCCCAGGAAUGAGCACUAUCGAAUUGACUCUCGAUAUCUUUCCCUCGGUAGGCUUUGCCUCUUCUUCGGCUCAUCUUUCUUUUUGAUUGCCGAAAUCAUCACUUUAUUCAGACAUUUUCGCGCCAUGUGUGGUCCUUGACAAAAGAAGCAUUUUAUCUUCUUCCUCUUGUCCCUUGGGUUGUCGAAUCCACUUGUGCUAUCGGUACCGUUGCCAUCAUCGCUAUGUCCCUCAUCAUCUUCUUCAUGGUUUCUCUCACCAUUGCCCUUUCCAUUGGGCUUAGAUGCCUCAAGCUUGUCUCUCGCUGGACCAAGCUCAACAAAGGACUCUGCUUCUGCCAUGGCUAUAGUAAGUUCAAUGAUCCCUUGCCUUCGCAACUCAUGCUUUGCCCACGACUUUAACCCAUCCUCGAACCAAUAGAACGCUUCUUUCUUACUCAAGUCAGAGAUUUGAAGCAUCAACUUGCUAAAUUCCCAAACAUACUCCCGAACAGUGCCUUGUUGCAUGAGACGACGUAACUUUGCUCGAGCCUCCUUCUCGGCAAACUGAGGGUAAAACUGCUUCUUCAACUUUCUUUGGAACUCCUUUGUGUUCCCACUAUGUUUCUCAUCUGUGGACCUACGACGUCACCACAAGAGAGCUACAUCAGUAGAAUAGAUUGAAGCAGUGUUUACCUUAAAGGCAUCAUCCUUGAUGCCCAUCGCUCAGAAGUAUUGCUCCAUUUCCCACAAGAAGUUGUCCACAUCCCUUGUGGAUCGUGCACCCUUAAACUUCUUUGGUUUGGGAACAUCCAUUGCUUGUUGCUUCAGCCUUGAAGUCAACAUCCCAUUACUCAAAGCGACUUUGUAAAUCGUGAGCUCCCCUUUGAGCUCCUCUAUUUCUUUCUUCACGGCUAACACCAUAUCCUCGAGAUUCUCAUCCCUCUCUGCCAGCUUUUCCACAGUGGACUCGAGUAAUUCCUUCAUCUUUUCCCCAUUUGCAUCGAGAGAAUCCAACACAAAAUCUCUGAGUUGCUCUUCCAUUGAGUCAAACCCAUCCGUGCGUCCUUCGACCAAUUCAAGCGUCUCUUUCACGUUCCCUACGGACUCCUCAAGAUUGACCACUCGGUUUUCCAAAGCUGUCAGCAUUUCCCUCGAGCGACUGGCUUUUCUAGCCCUCCCACGGGUCUCCAUUGGCUCACUCUGACCAACGACUUCUUUUGACAUCCCAACAGUGCCUUCGAACCAACUCGAAUAUCACUUGGUUCAAAACUUGGCUCGGAUACCACUUGUCAAGGGGCUAGACCUUUCGUCUCGCAAUCCGUGCGGCCUUAGGCGAUUCGUUCAUCCCAAACUCACCUAAGUCAGCCUUUACACCCAAAAGUGAGGAUUCUUUAGAACUCCUCUAAGCCACCAAUUUGUAUAGCGGAAGCGAUUGUGCCAAAAGAAGCUACAAAAGAACAACAGAAAGCCAAAGAAAGAAUGCACACAAAGUGUUUGAGUAAAUGCUCAAGAAUUCUAUUACUCUUAAGAAUUCAGCUUACAAUGGAUGAGUACAAAUGAGGGGGAGGCUCUCUAUUUAUAGUUGAGCUCCCCCAAAACCGACGGUCAAGAUACAUUUACAUCGAUGGAUGAGAUUCACUAUAUCCCUUGAUUUUAGGGAUUUACAAGAUUUGCCAUAUCAAAUCUAAUCUAAUCUUUACAAGAUAUGAUUCUCUCUAUCUUCUAUGAUUAGUUACUAAAAUUAGCCUAAGUUGCCAUGUCUUCAUCAUCGGGCCAACCAGGCUUCAAUCUGACAGGCUUCUUCAAUAGUUCUCUGAAUCGGGCCAGUUCUCGUGGGCUAAAAUCUAAUCGAUAGACCUCCAUGGGGCACUUCUUGUGCCAUGGUCACGGGCUUUGCACUUUGGCCCGUGACACAAGCAAGAAGGUACAUUUUAGUCCCCAGUUACAGACAGAUCCUAGGCAAAAUUAUCUCCAUGCUAAAUCUUGUCUUCAGCCUUCAGAUACUCCUGCAUCAAAAAGUCUUUCUUGGCACUUAUCCUCAGAAACCAAGUCUACUUUGAAAGGGACUUCACAAACUUUAGCAAGGUUAGUUUGGCUUAAAAAUUCUAUGUUGAAUGGAUAUUUUCCUUUGAGUGUAACUCUUCUAAUGUUCAGCUGAGAGAAAGAAAGUUAUUAACAUU